AAAGGCACAGUAUACCACAGAGAGAAGGAAGGAGGCUAGCUUACUAAGUUUUACCUUAUUUAGUUGUGGCUGACUUGAGUCCAUGCUGGAGAAAGAAGAGAGAAGCAUUGCAAGCUGUAGGCUAGUCAUUGGCAGGCACUGCUUAAUGCUUUGCUUAUUCUUUUUUGAGCUGGACUACCAGUACAAACUUUUGCUGGCCUCCUCAAAUGUGAUACUGAGUUAAAUGGGGUUUACUUCCAAACGGAUGUGGCUGGCAUAUGAUAUUUCAAAGAAAAUAGUUCCAAUUUGAAUUCUUUUUCUAGGUGAUGAAUUCUCUAAAGGUGAAAGAAGAGUAUCCUAUGUGUAAAAAAAAGCGCACACAUAAUAUAUAAUUGAAAUAUGGUCUCAUAUCUCCACCUACAGACACAAAGACAAUGGCAUGCAAUUUUAGUUUUUCUUUUCUGUGAAUGCCUUUUUAAAAAACUGUCAUUUUUUCUGAAAAGCAAUCAUGUAAAUUGUUGAUAAUCAGGCAUCAUUAUAUUUGGAUCUUUAUAGCAAGUGCUAAUAAAUGAACAAACAAAUGGGCAU
rnacentral:lncRNA from 11 species